rnacentral:rRNA from 1 species
AUUGAACGCUGGCGGCAGGCCUAACACAUGCAAGUCGAGCGGUAGAGAGGUGCUUGCAUCUCUUGAGAGCGGCGGACGGGUGAGUAAUGCCUAGGAAUCUGCCUGGUGGUGGGGGAUAACGUUCGGAAACGGACGCUAAUACCGCAUACGUCCUACGGGAGAAAGCGGGGGAUCUUCGGACCUCGCGCCAUUAGAUGAGCCUAGGUCGGAUUAGCUAGUUGGUGAGGUAAUGGCUCACCAAGGCGACGAUCCGUAACUGGUCUGAGAGGAUGAUCAGUCACACUGGAACUGAGACACGGUCCAGACUCCUACGGGAGGCAGCAGUGGGGGAAUAUUGGACAAUGGGCGAAAGACCUGAUCCAGCCAUGCCGCGUGUGUGAAGAAGGUACUUCGGAUUGUAAAGCACUUUAAGUUGGGUAGGAAGGGUAGUAACC